rnacentral:lncRNA from 1 species
UUUGCAAUGCUACCAGUUGGUUAUGUGGGAUUUAGGCCUAUCGACUGCCAAGGUCAUUGAGGCCGUCAACAUUACCGAAGAUGUGCGUGGCACUUGAUUGGUUGUUGUGCGGCCGUACAGUUUAGCAGGAACACUGCCCCCUAGUAGCUGCUAAGAAGCUGCAGAGAAUUUAAGUAUAUCCCAUGGCAAGGGGAAACUCAACUUAUAAAUAUUCCAUGUGUUUACCUGGUAUAUAUUUAACUUUCAAUCAAGAAAUCUCAUAGAAAAAUCAUCAACUAGGAUUCUGUUUUAUCAUCUUAAAAAAUUGGCACUAGAAACCUUAAAUAUUAUAAAGAAGACAAGAAAAAUUUAUCCUAAUUAAAUUAUGAAAAAAAAGAGACUGAUAUAACUCUUAAGAGGAGCUUCGUGUUAGCUUAGUUUGAUCUUUUUUUCCUGUAGUGUAUAGAAUAUUUUCAAUCUCUAAGAUGAUCUGUUAUGUGUUUGUUCCCAAUUCAAGUUUUGUGUUGUCUAUUUGAUGUACUUAUAUUCUUAUGUUGCUUCCUAAAUGACUUUCUUAUUUUUGUAUUGAUUCAGAUGUGUAACUGCCCAGAAACAGUAUUUUAUUCCUCACUUGUUCUAUUGUUUAUUUGUAAUAUUUUUCAUGUGAUAUGAUUUUUAUUUUUAUUCUGUGUUUUGAAAAACAAAUAUAAAAUACAUUAGUUUAAAGGAUAUCAAUUUUUUUACCAUGUACAAAACUACCUUUGGUUUCCAUUUUUCAUAAUAUAUAUAUAUAUAUAUAUAUCUGUGUGUGUGUGUGGCUAUUGUUAUAAAGAAUAACUUUUAAUCUAUAUAAGUCGAGUUUCAGUGAAAACAUUAGUGAUGUGUGAUGUUUCUUGCAAAAAAAAUGACUGUUAUAUUUUUUACUAUAUGAAUUGUUUAUUUUCAAACUAAUGUGUUACGGUAACAGCAGUCAUGCAUGUGAUAUAAAAGUUUUAUUUAUGUUGUUACUAGUAUAGACCAGAAAUGUGCCUUAUUGUACAUGUUUAAAUUUUGUACAGACAUUAACAUCAAUACAAAACAAUGUAAUAAAUUAAUUUCAUUAAACAGUAAUUAUCAGUAAAGAAUAACUGCUAAUGGAAUUAUUUAAAUGUAUUGUAGUUAAUUUUGUCGUAAAAAUGUAUAACAGAGUGCUAAUAUCAGAUAUACUUGUACACCACGUUACAAUCUCUAGCACAGGUAGCCAGUGUCAGUUAUAUAUGUACACCAUGUUACAAUCUCUAGCACAGAUUGCCAAUAUCAGAUGUGCUUGUACAGCAUGGGUAGUAUGUUCAUAAUUCUAUAAUCACAGGUAUACUGUUCACUUUAUUGGUAAGAUUAGUAACUGGAAAUAACAAGAGGAAUUACAGAAAAUGUUCUGCAAAAUAAAAUGUAAUUUCUGGCCAUGACUGAGUUAAAUGAAGGGCAAUGCAAUCUUUUAUUUCCAAACAAAUUACAAGGCAGCACCAUGCUUUAAUAUUUGGAGAGAGUUCCCUAUUCAGGAGAUCUGAAAAAAAAUAUGUUUUUCUGUUAGAGAGUAUGACAUCUAUAUAUAUAUAUGUAUAAAAACAGUAAUGUUAUUUCUCUCAGAAUGCAUGAACUACGCAUGUGACAUUUGGUCUUUCCAUAAAUAGAAGUAGGGAUGACAGCCUUCAGUUGUCACAAAACCCACUAUACAGUUGAUUUUCUAUAGAAGCUACAUAAUGUAUUAAACUCUGCUAUCUACCACAAUCCUCUUCAAUGAUAGAAUUAAUUGGAACAAAAGGGACCUCUGGCAAUAGGUAACAGGAACAUCAGCGCAUUAUUGACAUCCCAUAAUCAGUUCUCUAUUGCAAAUCCUGUACAUGCUUAUGUGUGAAAAAUUUUGAAAUAUUCAUGUUUCUAUACUAGAAAAGAAACACCUGGUCUGUUUCAUAGACUAUAUGCUACAUGCUUACAUACACAAAAAAGCACUUCUCUUUCCAGCUGUAGCACCAUUGUUGCAAAGGCUUCGGUCAUCAAAGACAUGAUACAAAACCAAGUUCACAUGGGACAAUAUUUUGUAUUAUUUUGAACAAAAUCCUCUUAAUACUAUAUACAAGUAAGCAAUAAAAUCACAUGAUAAAAUUUUAGAGCUUCUACCAGUUCCAAGCCAAUAGAAAAUAUUAAUUAAGAUUGAUUAUACGUUAAGUAUACGUAUAAAUUUCAAUUAUUAUACAUGAUAGACAGCACGUUAUUCCGAGAUAAAAGAUCACUAAUGCUAUUGUUACACUUUUUCCAUAUCAGACAGGAAAGUUGACUUUUAUAUACCCGCCUUGAUGUGAUGAACAUAUUAAAAAUUAAUAGAUUCAAUUGGUGUAAUGUGAUUCAGUGUGAUAGGAAUUUCAAAUGUGAUUAACAAAAUUAAAUUGAGGUACAUUUUAAAGUGAUGUAAAGGAAAUUAAUUUUAAAAUAAAAUAAUCAUGCUAAUGAUGUUUGUUUGGUGUGAGAGACAUUUUAAUAGUAUGUAGAGAAAUAAGAUUGAUGUACAGCUUAUUAUGGUGAGGGGAAUUUUCAUAUAAAUAACCAAAUUCAACUGAUGUAAUGUUUACUUUGGCAUCUUAUAGUAAGUAGAUAAAUUAAGUUUAUGUACAGUAUGGCAUGGGAAAGGACACUAAUAGAACACGUUGUAUGAGUAUGUUAAUACCUAAUUUGGUGCUAGGGAAUUCCAGUAAUAUUUAGUUAGGUUAACACAUUAUGUAAUCUGGUGUUGGGGAAUUCCACUAAUAUUUAGUUAGGUUAACACAUUAUCUAAUUUGGUGUUAGGGAAUUUUGGCAAUAUGUAGUUAUAUUAACACGUUAUCUAAUUUGGUGUUAGGGAAUUUUGGUAAUAUUUAGUUAGAUCACAUAUAUUUUAACUAUUCAAACAUAUUGUUUCAGUUAUCAUGAUGGGUGUUUUUAUAUUUACUGAAAUAUUUACACAUAAUUAAAAUGUUGUAUUAUAAUUAAACUUAUAAUUAAAAUGUUGUACCAUAAUUAAUAGUAAAAUACGAUUUUUUUAAAAUUAUUUAACAGAUUCUGCCACUGUUAGUAACAUGAGCAUAUAUAAAUUUCUGGCAUCAGUCACAUUCAUUAUUCUCUCAGCAGGUUAUCCUAAGCUUUCCAUUUCUUCUGUUGUGGAUAUAAGUUCUUUCUCUUGUGUCCCCAUAACAACCUUACUUCCUCCAGCAAGCUUUCCUGACUAUGACAUUUUGGCCUUUCCUUCUGUUUCUAUUGUACUUGCUGCAGGGGCUUAUUAACACUAGGAAUAUCUGGCUAAUAAACAGAUAAACCUCAAAACUAAUGUUUGCUGGGUAAAGAAAAAAGGUAUUAGAAUUAAAAGAUCAAAAUCCAUCAUUAAAUUCCCAGCAAAAAAAAAAAA